rnacentral:tRNA from 1 species
AGGGGUACAGCUCAGUGGUGAAGCACAUGCUUAGCAUGCAUAAGGUCCUGGGUGCAACCUCCAGUACCUCUA